CGCCUUGGCAGAAGAAGAAGAGGAAGAUCAGCUCAUUCGCAGCUUGUGUUCUUGAGAAUCACUGUUUCGCCUGUGAAAUUCUAUUCAGAAUCGCUUUUUGGGUGAUUAUAUCGAAGGUUAACACUGUAUUUGUUCAAGUUUUUUCCUCGCUAGCUCGUCGCAUUGCAAAGCAGACGGCAAAUCACGUUCGGCCAGGGACUCCGGAACACUCUAUGGACGUACACCGCUCUCUGCCCGAGAAAGAACAAACGCCUCCCGGCGUCGAGAGCACCGGCACGGAGUUCGGAUCACCGCCCUAUGCUUCGUCGUUCACGGCGAUCGUCAGAGGAAGCUUUCCCAUCUCACUCGGAGACAGCGGCACCCAUGUUGGCCGCCCACGUGAGAAUCAUCACAGAGAUCGCGGUGUGUUGCAAGCGGCGAAUGCGACACCACAUGGGCCUGCUCCUGCCGAUAUACAAGAGCGCGCAAAAUCUCAGCUGGUGUGUAGAUUCUGCGCUGGUGCGGCCAACCUGUGCUUCCGCUGCAUUGACAGCCUGUCGCCGACGUUCCUGCUCCUCACGCUGCUCACCUUCGCCGUCAUGCUGCUCCUGCUCUACAUGCAGCUGUGGCUUAGCCGGCCUCACCACUACAGUGUCCAAUGAACGUGCGCUAUUUAGGAAUGACUCAGCCUGCGGCUGCAUCUGCGCGAGCGAGUGCUUUUGUCAAGCAUCGCUGCGCAACAUCUUCCAAAAGGAGAUACAUAACGCCGCCAUUGUCGCGACUCGUUUCAAAGGACUUUUGCCGCAGCAAAGAUCACGGCCCUAAAGAGCAACCCAACCUAUCAAAAAUGGACGGAACAAUCUGUUGAAUAACAAGCCCAAUAUAUGUGCCAGUGAGUUCCUGCGUCAAGCCCAUUUUGAGUAGGUCCUUAGUGACUUUCGUGAAUUUAGGAAAUAUUGACUUGUUAAACUCAAUUACACAGGAUGUUCACAUUGUUACGCAAGCAAAACACACAAGUAGGUUACACUCGUAGAAUACUCACAGUAUAGGUGGCCAUCAAGUUUUCGUACAUAACGCAUAACUAAUGUUCGUACUCUAUAACAACACCGAAAUAGGGAGUACUUGAAAGCUAUACCUUUUCCUUUCUUAACCGCACGCUGUAGACGAGCACGAAUGUAAAUGAAAGAAGCAACGUUGACCAUGACACAGCUGGUCUAUCGGCUUUUUCAGUAGCGUGGACUUGUCUAGGCCGGACGCAAAGUUGUUGGAAAGGUAGCGCAUUCAGUGCUAUACAAACUUUGGUGUGCCUACCACGUGUCAUCAGUCCUUUAUAGACUUGACGUUGGCGAUGAACAUUUCCAGUGUCAUCGCAGAGCUCAUGACGCUAUACCAUAGCGAUCACAAAGCCAUAGACCAAAUAAGAGACGGUGGAAAGAAAUCAUCAAUUCUCUGCAGUAUGUGUCUUUAUUUAAAUCAAUAUAGUCCUUCAAUCUAUAUACAGCUCUGCUGGUCAUCCACCUUAAUGGAGUGCAAUAGCUCUGAAUUUAUUAGCUUAAUGCUCGCGUUUCAAACAUGAAUGUUGUGCUUGCUUAAGAUAGGAAGAUAUAUCAUUCAGUCACAUCAGAACAGUCACACCCGUCUCAGCGGCUAUGGCGUUGAGCUUCGGUGCUACUUUUGUUGAGAAUUUCGGAGCACGUUCGCGAACCCUAGCUGGUCUAAAUUAUUUGCCACUACGGCAUGCCUCGUAAUUAGAUCGUAUUUUUUGGCAAGUAAAACCCCACAAUUCAGAACUGUGCUUGAACAGUGUGACUCCUAGAAGGACAUGGAGAGAAACAAAUUCCGCAGAGCAAGCACUGACUGCCAGCUCAAUUUUUAUUUGAAGAAUUUUUAUUUGAACCACCUAAACUACUGUAUUGCCGCUGUUGCCACUACCUGUAAGGCCCCAGGCCUCGUCAAGGUGCUCAAUAAGCAGCUUCUUGUCUGGGGUUCAUUUUUCCUUUAGGAAAAUAAAACUGAUUCUGGAA